rnacentral:miRNA from 1 species
CCUGCCUCUCCCCUUGUGUGG